CAAAAUCAAUUUAAAAAAUACACUUGGUAAACAAAAAAACGAGACAAUCCUAGUAAUGCUUCUUAUUUAUGAAUUUAUUCUCAAAUGUAAACUUCACUAUUUCAUGCAUACAAGUUAAGACAGACAACAUACAUUAUUUGACAAAUUCUUGUUAAUUCUCAUAUUUGCAUAGGACAUAGUCACAAUAUUGUCUAACAUGUAAAAAAAAAAGGUCAUAAAAAGAUACAGCAGAGCAACCAUAGACCAGCAACAAUAAUAUAAUCUGAUUAAUUCAAGGAACUGUACAACUGUAAUACUUCACUGUAGUGAUUUGGUUGAUUGCAAAUCAAAAUAAAAUCAAAAAUAGUUUCAUUAUGCGGCAGUUGUCUUGAAUGAGGUUAUGGAGAACAGAACUGGCCAUUGCUAAAGAAGAGCUAUUGUACAAAGUACAGAGGUGCUGGGAAAUAGAAACCCAGCGCAAUGUAGUCACUGGAGCAGGCAUCACACGGUGUCGUUAAAAGAGAUUGUUAAAAUACAGACGAAUACGUACAAUAGGAAGGCAAGUCGAGUUCACGCGGCGAACGUCUACAGGACAGCAUGAGGCCGCUAGUGCCUCAUUACGAUUCAAUAUACAACAUUUAUUGAAAUCUCUACAAUAGGAGAGUGUUAGCACACGAUGUGCUUAACUGCUAUGUAUGAAGAGGGAGGAAUUUGAAAUAAUUUCGUUCCCAUAUCGGGAACAACGAACACAUGAUUUCACAGGUGUCGGAGAAAAAAGUCAAAUGGAAGCGAGAAUUCGUUCAGUCUUUCAGAUGGCUCUUUCACAGUGUCUUAUUUUCAGACCGGGGUUUAAUCAUAUGGGAAAUGUUGGCGUAUUAAUUUGAAAUGAGUUUCGGUGUUCGGUAGGGGGUCGUCUGCAUGAUUCUCCCCAAAUUAGGGUAGUUUGGUCACCACACCUGGGGAUCAGAGUCAAAUGGGCGCCCUUCGCUUUUUACAGGCGUGAGGUUGUGCGAACCCAACCACACGAUUUGGCAGACGACCAGACUAACAGAAAUGACCACAGCCCUCAAAAGCAGUUAGUGUCUCCUGAGCGGAGCAAGAGACGAAACAUAAACAACAGUCGAAACUAAGCCACGGCUAAGACUUCAAUCCACAUCCACCAUUAGGUUACCAUUACGCAGACCUAAACUUUUCAGCCCAUGGCAUCGUAAAUAUCCAUUUCUGAAGUUACGCUCACUGUCUAGUGAUUCCCGAAGCGUGUCAAUGUCUGAAGCUUUGUUAACCUGGAUACACAAUCACUAAAUGGCAUUUAAACAUCCAUAGGUUCUUUGGAGAAACAUCUAACUGCAAAAACACAGUGUAACUUUCAACAGUACGAGAUCUUUGACUGCACGGUGGGACUAUAAAGACAAUGCUGUACAGUUGUUUUGUAUGUGGAUUUAUUCCCAGAUAUGUAUUCCUUGGGACUAUAUUAAAUCAAAAAAGCCUUUCCAAUGGCUUAGAAUGUGUAAAUAACGGUUAACCAAGUCGAACAUAGUUGAUUUUGCAUAUCCAUGUUGAAAACAGCCUAGUUUGAUUGAUUCCACUAAAAAUGAGUUUAGGGUGCAUUCAUCUUUUGUUUAGAAUCUGUCAGCAAAACAAAUAUUCUUCGGAAACUUUCCAACUAACGCGGCAUGAACAUUCAUUACUUCGAUCCUGAAGCCUUUGGUAACGUCUUUAAAACAAUAAUUCAAUAAGAGACUUCCAAUGCACCCAAUGCCAAAAGUGAGGGCGAAAUUACAUGUCGUGGCACUACAGCAUCCUUGGCAAUCGCAUCCUACAGCUCUUUAAAGUAAAACGUCAUCCUCCUUCAGCACUGAGAACAUCAGUUAUUCAAACUGACCUUAUUUUGCAUGGGAAGACAAUAUUGGAACUGAUAACUGCACACUUGUAUGGAAGCCAUCUUGUCUGUUCUCUAUUCUGAGAGGGUCAAGGUACCAAAUUGAACUAUAGUAACAAAAGUCAUGUAAUACAUCACAGUCAAAAAGAGUAAUUGCAAAAUAAAUACAUAAAGAAAUUAAGCUUUGAUGCAUUGGUUGGAUAUAACUAAGCAGCAUAUUUAUAGCAAAUGUAAUUGCAAUCCUUUGGAAUGGUCGAGCUUUCACAUAGGAUGGUGGACAGGUUAAUUUCUGAGUUUUCACUUUUACUAAUAUGUGCAUUUGUUCUGUACAACAAUGACAAAUGAAGAAAAACAACUAAAGGAAACAAAAACUACAUCGAGAUCACGGCAAAGGGGGAAAAUUAGAAAUACUUGCGAAUCUAAAAACAUCAUUCACCCCGCUACAUACACAUAAAAACGUACAUCACUCUUAGAAAACUGUACAAGGUCAUUUUUAUCUUGACUAUCACUGUAUAUGAUCAAAUAAAAUCACCCUUCUAAUGCCUUUGGCACAUUUUAUAGAACUAACAUGCAGUUUGUUGAAUGUAGGAUUCAAAUGCAAUCAAAAUCAUUAGUUGGAUUUUGUGAACAAAUAGCCUUAUACAAAACAAAUCGUUUCUGGAUGAGUCGGGAGUGUGGGUUUAUGCAAUCCACUGGUAAAAUGAGUUACACGAAAGAUGAUUCGCUUUCAAUAUGAUGCUCUGUGGCUCAUAAGACCCUGAUAAUUCAUAAAAAAUAUUGUUUUAAAUUUACAAUUCUUUCAGAUAUGAAUUCCCCUACCCCACCCCAUCAAAAAAAAAAAAAUCAUUUUCAUAACCUUCUUGAUUUUUU